rnacentral:rRNA from 1 species
UACGGAGGGGGCUAGCGUUGUUCGGAAUUACUGGGCGUAAGCGCGCGUAGGCGGCUUUGUAAGUUAGAGGUGAAAGCCCGGAGCUCAACUCCGGAAUUGCCUUUAAGACUGCAUCGCUAGAAUCAUGGAGAGGUGAGUGGAAUUCCGAGUGUAGAGGUGAAAUUCGUAGAUAGUUCGGAAGAACACCAGUGGCGAAGGCGACUCACUGGACAUGUAUUGACGCUGAGGUGGCGAAAGCGUGGGGAGCAAACAGG